rnacentral:sRNA from 1 species
GGAGUCCUCAGGGAGUGGCCUGGGGUGAGACCCUCCCAUAGGCUCUAAGAGUCUCAUUCUCAUCAGUGUAUUCCAGACUGAGGAAGAAAUGGGGCAGCAGUCAGGAGAGCUCGGGAUUUUGAGUAUAGCAGAAUUUAAGUGAAAUGGAAACUACACUCUUUAAUUUGUUCUUCCAUGGAAUUGCUUUUUCUAUGCAAGGGCUGAGCCCCCAGGAGAGCCCUUGUGAAGGGAAUGCUGAUUUGUGUGAAUAUCUGUAGGCGUGUAGGUAUCUAGUGAGGAUGAGUUGGGAGGAUGAGUUGGGUAAGGCGUGCCCCUCUGACACUGUUCUGGGUAUAAAAGACAACAUCAUGAUGAGAUCUUCAUCUGAAUAAAACUAUGCCUUGGCCUUUUCAGAAACUGCGGGCACUGCAGUCCCACAGUGUGAUGGAGUCCAACCUGGGAUCACUGCGAGAUGAGGAGUCAGAGGAGUGGCUCCGGCAGGCACGGGAGCUUCAGGCCCUGAGAGAGAAGACAGAAAUUCAGAAAACGGAGUGGAAAAGAAAAGUGAAGGAACUGCAUGAAGAGCACAUGGC